UCUGAGACUAGGGCUAAAAGCAGCCCUCACAGGGUCCUCCAUGAGUUUCAGGGUGGUGAAUUCCUAGAAAACAGGGCUCUGCAGAAGGGCAGACUGGGCAGGAGAGGUCAUAGACCCCAACCUUGGGGAGUGGCCUGGCGGAUGCUUCCUUAGCCAGAGCUCAGAACAGACUCAUGGCCAGUGAGUGAAGUGAGUUCAAUGGCUGAAGUGAGGUACCCUGCCUGGGAGCCUCAUAACCCAAUACAG
rnacentral:lncRNA from 1 species